CCUACGGGUGGCAGCAGUGAGGAAUAUUGGUCAAUGGGCGCGAGCCUGAACCAGCCAAGUAGCGUGAAGGAUGACUGCCCUACGGGUUGUAAACUUCUUUUAUAAAGGAAUAAAGUGAGGCACGUGUGCCUUUUUGUAUGUACUUUAUGAAUAAGGAUCGGCUAACUCCGUGCCAGCAGCCGCGGUAAUACGGAGGAUCCGAGCGUUAUCCGGAAUUAUUGGGUUUAAAGGGAGCGUAGAUGGGUUGUUAAGUCAGUUGUGAAAGUUUGCGGCUCAACCGUAAAAUUGCAAUUGAUACUGGCAGGCUUGAGUACAGUUGAGGUAGGCGGAAUUCGUGGUGUAGCGGUGAAAUGCUUAGAGAUGACGAAGAACUCCGAUUGCGAAGGCAGCUUACUAAACAGCCACUGACAUUGAUGUGCGAAAGUGUGGGUAUCAAACAGGAUUAGAUACCCCAGUAGUC
rnacentral:rRNA from 1 species